GACGAACGCUGGCGGCGUGCUUAACACAUGCAAGUCGAACGGUGAAGCGCCUUCCUUUUUGGUGGGUGUGGAUGAGUGGCGAACGGGUGAGUAACACGUGAGUAACCUGCCCCCUUCUUCUGGAUAACCGCAUGAAAGUGUGGCUAGUACGGGAUAUUCUGGGUCUGUCGCAUGAUGGGUCUGGGAAAGAUAUUGUUUCGGUGGGGGAUGGGCUCGCGGCCUAUCAGCUUGUUGGUGGGGUGAUGGCCUACCAAGGCGGUGACGGGUAGCCGGCCUGAGAGGGUGGACGGUCACACUGGGACUGAGACACGGCCCAGACUCCUACGGGAGGCAGCAGUGGGGAAUAUUGCACAAUGGGCGCAAGCCUGAUGCAGCGACGCCGCGUGAGGGAUGGAGGCCUUCGGGUUGUGAACCUCUUUCGCCAGUGAAGCAGGCCUGCCUCGUUUGUGGGUGGGUUGACGGUAGCUGGAUAAGAAGCGCCGGCUAACUACGUG
rnacentral:rRNA from 1 species